rnacentral:rRNA from 1 species
GAUGAACGCUAGCGGGAGGCUUAACACAUGCAAGUCGAGGGGCAGCAUAGGGUAGCAAUACUCUGAUGGCGACCGGCAAACGGGUGAGUAACGCGUAUGCAACCUACCCUGUACAGGGGGAUAACCCGGAGAAAUUCGGACUAAUAUCCCGUAAUAAUAUCCGGAGGCAUCUUUGGAUAUUUAAAGUUCCGACGGUACGGGAUGGGCAUGCGUAACAUUAACUGGUUGGUAAGGUAACGGCUUACCAAGGCUAUGAUGUUUAGGGGUCCUGAGAGGGUGGUCCCCCAACUGGUACUGAGACACGGACCAGACUCCUACGGGAGCAGCAGUGAGGAAUAUUGGUCAAUGGGCCAAGCCUGAACCAGCCAUCCCGCGUGCAGGAAGACGGCCCUAUGGGUUGUAAACUGCUUUUCCAGGGAGAGAAACUUACGCACGUGUUGCGUGACUGACGGUACCUGGGAAUAAGCAUCGGCUAACUCCGUG